rnacentral:rRNA from 1 species
UGCCAGCAGCCGCGGUAAGACAGAGGGUGCAAACGUUGUUCGGAAUUACUGGGCGUAAAGCGCGUGUAGGCGGUCAUGCAAGUCGGAUGUGAAAGCCCGGGGCUCAACCUCGGAAGUGCACUCGAAACUGCAAGACUUGAGUCUCGGAGAGGGAAGCGGAAUUCUGGGUGUAGAGGUGAAAUUCGUAGAUAUCCAGAGGAACACCGGUGGCGAAGGCGGCUUCCUGGACGAGUACUGACGCUGAGACGCGAAAGCGUGGGGAGCAAACAGGAUUAGAUA